GCCUAAUACAUGCAGUCGAACGCUUUUUCUUUCACCGGAGCUUGCUCCACCGAAAGAAAAAGAGUGGCGAACGGGUGAGUAACACGUGGGUAACCUGCCCAUCAGAAGGGGAUAACACUUGGAAACAGGUGCUAAUACCGUAUAACACUAUUUUCCGCAUGGAAGAAAGUUGAAAGGCGCUUUUGCGUCACUGAUGGAUGGACCCGCGGUGCAUUAGCUAGUUGGUGAGGUAACGGCUCACCAAGGCAACGAUGCAUAGCCGACCUGAGAGGGUGAUCGGCCACACUGGGACUGAGACACGGCCCAGACUCCUACGGGAGGCAGCAGUAGGGAAUCUUCGGCAAUGGACGAAAGUCUGACCGAGCAACGCCGCGUGAGUGAAGAAGGUUUUCGGAUCGUAAAACUCUGUUGUUAGAGAAGAACAAGGAUGAGAGUAAAAUGUUCAUCCCUUGACGGUAUCUAACCAGAAAGCCACGGCUAACUACGUGCCAGCAGCCGCGGUAAUACGUAGGUGGCAAGCGUUGUCCGGAUUUAUUGGGCGUAAAGCGAGCGCAGGCGGUUUCUUAAGUCUGAUGUGAAAGCCCCCGGCUCAACCGGGGAGGGUCAUUGGAAACUGGGAGACUUGAGUGCAGAAGAGGAGAGUGGAAUUCCAUGUGUAGCGGUGAAAUGCGUAGAUAUAUGGAGGAACACCAGUGGCGAAGGCGGCUCUCUGGUCUGUAACUGACGCUGAGGCUCGAAAGCGUGGGGAGCGAACAGGAUUAGAUACCCUGGUAGUCCACGCCGUAAACGAUGAGUGCUAAGUGUUGGAGGGUUUCCGCCCUUCAGUGCUGCAGCAAACGCAUUAAGCACUCCGCCUGGGGAGUACGACCGCAAGGUUGAAACUCAAAGGAAUUGACGGGGGCCCGCACAA
rnacentral:rRNA from 1 species